rnacentral:rRNA from 1 species
GACGAACGCUGGCGGCGUGCUUAACACAUGCAAGUCGAGCGAGGCCCACCUUUCGGGGUGGUGUCCUAGCGGCGAACGGGUGAGUAACACGUGGGCAACCUGCCCCCGGCUCGGGGAUAACUCCAAGAGAUUGGGGCUAAUACCGGAUACGACCGCUGACCGCAUGGUCCGGUGGUGGAAAGAUUUAUCGGCUGGGGAUGGGCCCGCGGCCUAUCAGCUUGUUGGUGGGGUAGUGGCCUACCAAGGCGACGACGGGUAGCCGGCCUGAGAGGGUGACCGGCCACACUGGGACUGAGACACGGCCCAGACUCCUACGGGAGGCAGCAGUGGGGAAUAUUGCGCAAUGGGCGGAAGCCUGACGCAGCGACGCCGCGUGAGGGAUGACGGCCUUCGGGUUGUAAACCUCUUUCGGCAGGGACGAAGCCGCAAGGUGACGGUACCUGCGGAAGAAGCACCGGCCAACUACGUGCCAGCAGCCGCCGCCGUAA